rnacentral:rRNA from 1 species
AUUAAACGCUGGCGGCAUGCCUUACACAUGCAAGUCGAACGGCAGCACGGGGCGAACCCUGGUGGCGAGUGGCGGACGGGUGAGUAAAGCAUCGGAACGUAUCCUGGAGUGGGGGAGUAACGUAGCGAAAGUUACGCUAAUACCGCAUAUUCUGUGAGCAGGAAAGCAGGGGAUCGCAAGACCUUGCGCUCUGGGAGCGGCCGAUGUCGGAUUAGCUAGUUGGUGGGGUAAAGGCCUACCCAAGGCGACGAUCCGUAGCGGGUCUGAGAGGAUGAUCCGCCACACUGGGACUGAGGCACGGCCCAGACUCCUACGGGAGGCAGCAGUGGGGAAUUUUGGACAAUGGGCGGAAGCCUGAUCCAGCCAUGCCGCGUGAGUGAAGAAGGCC